CAACUACAACUAUUAAGAAUUGAUCAAGAAAAGAAUUGCCUCAAUCAAAAUUAACUAUUAAUUAGAUUUGAUCAAUUACUAACAUAGUCUAUUAUCAAUAAUUUCUAAUCCUAGGUCUAAUCCAAUUAAAUGACCUUGACUCGAGCUAGCCCAUAAACCCAUGAAUUAUAAAAUUUAUGCCUUAGAUCUUUGAUUCUUAAAUCUAGAUCACUUAAUUCUCAAUUAAGUUUUGGGCUAAC
rnacentral:lncRNA from 1 species